rnacentral:rRNA from 1 species
UACGAAGGGGGCUAGCGUUGUUCGGAUUUACUGGGCGUAAAGCGCACGUAGGCGGAUGUGUCAGUCAGGGGUGAAAUCCCGGAGCUCAACUUCGGAACUGCCCUUGAUACAGCACGUCUUGAGUCCGGAAGAGGUGGGUGGAAUUCCUAGUGUAGGGGUGAAAUUCGUAGAUAUUAGGAAGAACACCGGUGGCGAAGGCGGCCCACUGGUCCGGUACUGACGCUGAGGUGCGAAAGCGUGGGGAGCAAACAGG